rnacentral:rRNA from 1 species
AAUGAACGCUGGCGGCAGGCCUAACACAUGCAAGUCGAACGGAUCCUUCGGGAUUAGUGGCGGACGGGUGAGUAACGCGUGGGAAUAUACCCAAAGGUACGGAAUAGCCUCGGGAAACUGGGAGUAAUACCGUAUGUGCUCGAAAGAGGAAAGAUUUAUCGCCUUUGGAUUGGCCCGCGUUGGAUUAGGUAGUUGGUGGGGUAAUGGCCUACCAAGCCGACGAUCCAUAGCUGGUUUGAGAGGAUGAUCAGCCACACUGGGACUGAGACACGGCCCAGACUCCUACGGGAGGCAGCAGUGGGGAAUCUUAGACAAUGGGGGAAACCCUGAUCUAGCCAUGCCGCGUGAUCGAUGAAGGCCUUAGGGUUGUAAAGAUCUUUCAGGUGGGAAGAUAAUGACUGUACCACCAGGAGAAGCCCCGGCUAACUCCGUGCCAGCCGCCGCAGUAA